GCAGCUUUAGCUCAGUUGGUAGAGCAACUGACUCUUAAUCAGUGGGUCCAGGGUUCGAGUCCCUGAAGCUGUACCA
rnacentral:tRNA from 2 species